GUUUGAUCCUGGCUCAGAUGAACGCUGGCGGCGUGCUUAACACAUGCAAGUCGAGCGGUAACAGGUGUAGCAAUACAUGCUGACGAGCGGCGAACGGGUGAGUAAUGCUUCGGAAUCUUCCUCGUAGUGGGGAAUAACCUGGGGAAACUCAGGCUAAUACCGCAUACGAACUACGGUUGAAAGCAGGGGAUCGCAAGACCUUGCGCUAUGAGAUGAGCCGAAGUCGGAUUAGCUAGUUGGUGAGGUAAAGGCUCACCAAGGCGACGAUCCGUAGCUGGUCUGAGAGGACGACCAGCCACACUGGAACUGAGACACGGUCCAGACUCCCACGGGAGGCAGCAGUGGGGAAUAUUGGACAAUGGGGGCAACCCUGAUCCAGCGACGCCGCGUGUGUGAAGAAGGCCUGCGGGUUGUAAAGCACUUUUAGUGGGGACAAAAAGCCGAGGGCUAAUACCUUUCGGUCUUGAUUUAACCCAAAGAAAAAGCACCGGCUAACUCUGUGCCAGCAGCCGCGGUAAUACAGAGGGUGCAAGCGUUAAUCGGAAUUACUGGGCGUAAAGCGUGCGCAGUCGGUUAUUUAAGUCGGAUGUGAAAUCCCCGGGCUCAACCUGGGAAUUGCAUUCGAUACUGGAUAGCUAGAGUUCGGCAGAGGGAAGCGGAAUUUCGGGUGUAGCGGUGAAAUGCGUAGAUAUCCGAAGGAACAUCAGUGGCGAAAGCGGCUUCCUGGACCAGAACUGACGAUCAGGCACGAAAGCGUGGGGAGCAAACAGGAUUAGAUACCCUGGUAGUCCACGCCAUAAACGAUGACAGCUAGACGUUGGGCGGGUAAGCCGCACAGUGUCGCAGCUAACGCGUUAAGUUGUCCGCCUGGGGAGUACGGCCGCAGGGUUGAAACUCAAAGGAAUUGACGG
rnacentral:rRNA from 1 species